UACAGAGGUCCCAAGCGUUGUUCGGAUUCACUGGGCGUAAAGGGUGCGUAGGUGGUGAGGCAAGUCGGAUGUGAAAUCUCGGAGCUUAACUCCGAAACUGCAUUGGAAACUGCCUUGCUUGAGGUUUGGAGGGGGGACUGGAAUGCUUGGUGUAGCAGUGAAAUGCGUAGAUAUCAAGCGGAACACCAGUGGCGAAGGCGAGUCCCUGGACAACACCUGACACUGAGGCACGAAAGCUAGGGGAGCAAACAGG
rnacentral:rRNA from 1 species